UACGUAGGGUGCAAGCGUUAAUCGGAAUUACUGGGCGUAAAGCGUGCGCAGGCGGCUUUGCAAGACAGAUGUGAAAUCCCCGGGCUUAACCUGGGAACUGCAUUUGUGACUGCAUGGCUGGAGUGCGGCAGAGGGGGAUGGAAUUCCGCGUGUAGCAGUGAAAUGCGUAGAUAUGCGGAGGAACACCGGUGGCGAAGGCAGCCCCCUGGGUCAAGACUGACGCUCAUGCACGAAAGCGUGGGGAGCAAACAGG
rnacentral:rRNA from 1 species